GACUGACGCUGACUAAGGAAACAACAACAACAACAGCAACAUGGCGGCCGUCUUCAAGCUGGUGAUCAUGGUGUUCCUGCUGUGCCUGGUGUCCUGUGGCAUGGCGCUCCCUGACCCUGACCCAACACGCUUCCGCUCCCAUCGCAAGGGCGGCGGCGGCGGCGGCAAGCACAGGGGCGGCGGACACAAGCGCGGGGGCGGCGGCUACGGAGGUGGUGGACACAAGCACGGGUAGACAGGUGAGCAAGAGCCCUUCGCCGCCCCUUCACCCUCCCCUGCAGCACCUCCAUCAGGAUCAACACCCCUUACUGCUCCUCCCCUCCAGCAGCCCCACGCCUCCCUUGCCUUAACCAGCACCUCCCCACUACCACCCUUCAGAAUCGUCACUCCCCUACACUCGCCUGACGAAGGGAAACAACGGGAAACUCAGCUCGUCAUUGCCCUCGUGUAUUCUGCAUUCCUGUAUUGUCAUUGCUUUGUGUCUUGCCUUCAGACUCAGAGCGAAGAAUAUAAGUGUAUUACCGAGACAGGUGGUUAAUGAGGAAGUGUACAGGUAGAUUAAUUACUGUGUCACACCUGUAUGUCGUCUUGUUGCUAGGUGAGUCUUUUCUUCUUGGUGUGUGUAUGAGGGGGGGGGGAGAGUGAGUGAGAGGGAGAGUGGGAAAAUGGAGUGUGGGGGGAAUGAGUGAGAGUGAACAUAUGGUCGUGUGUGUGUGUGUGUGUGUGUGUGUGUGUGUCGUGGUCGUCCUUCUCAGUUUCAAGAUGUAUCCAGUCUUCAAAAGUAGUUCACUGUAUAAAUAUUGUGUUCACUUGUCUUUGUAUAGUCAAUCACCUUAUCUAUUGUCUAUUCAACCAUUAUUUAUAUCAUCGUGAGUGAUGUGAUAUUAGUUGCUUGCUGUGCACAUUUCACAAUAAAGAGGCGAAUAUAA